rnacentral:rRNA from 1 species
GACGAACGCUGGCGGCGUGCUUAACACAUGCAAGUCGAACGGACAGGCCCUGCUUUUGUUGGGUGCUCGAGUGGCGAACGGGUGAGUAACACGUGAGUAACCUGCCCUUGACUUUGGGAUAACUUCAGGAAACUCGGGCUAAUACCGGAUAGGAUCUCCUGCUGCAUGGUGGGGGUUGGAAAGUUUCGGCGGUUGGGGCUGGACUCGCGGCUUAUCAGCUUGUUGGUGGGGUAGUGGCUUACCAAGCCUUUGACGGGUAGCCGGCCUGAGAGGGUGACCGGCCACAAUGGGACUGAGAGACGGCGCAGACUGCAACGUGAGGCAGCAGUGGGGAAUAUGACACAAUGGGCGGAAGCGUGAGGCAGCAACGCCGCGUGCGGGAUGACGGCCUUCGGGUGGAAAACAGAUGUCGCAUGAGACGAAGAGUGAGUGACGGUAAUGGGUAAAGAAGCAACGGCUAACUACGUG